AAAAAUUUAGUUAAUUCAUAACAUUAACUUGUCAAGUUAAAAUAAUUAAAUUUAAUAAUUUUUA
rnacentral:tRNA from 1 species